GGAAAUGUCUGUCCAAGCAGUAAGUCUGAAGAGGAGUCAAAUGCUUCUUUUCUUAAGGACAAGCUGUGAUGGGGAGGGAAAUAAUAGUACCGAAGUUCCUGAUGUCACACUGCCGAGAAAAGCUUCUAGUGAGAAAACAGCGGCCCGUACCGCAAACCGACACAGGUAGUCGAGGAGAGAAUCCUAAGGUGAGCGAGAGAACUCUCGUUAAGGAACUCGGCAAAAUGACCCCGUAACUUCGGGAGAAGGGGUGCUGAUCAUACGAUCAGCCGCAGUGAAUAGGCCCAAGCGACUGUUUAUCAAAAACACAGGUCUCUGCAAAAUCGUAAGAUGAAGUAUAGGGGCUGACGCCUGCCCGGUGCUGGAAGGUUAAGAGGAGUGCUUAGCGCAAGCGAAGGUACGAAUUGAAGCCCCAGUAAACGGCGGCCGUAACUAUAACGGUCCUAAGGUAGCGAAAUUCCUUGUCGGGUAAGUUCCGACCCGCACGAAAGGCGUAACGAUUUGGGCACUGUCUCAACGAGAGACUCGGUGAAAUUUUAGUACCUGUGAAGAUGCAGGUUACCCGCGACAGGACGGAAAGACCCCAUGGAGCUUUACUGUAGUUUGAUAUUGAGUGUCUGUACCGCAUGUACAGGAUAGGUAGGAGCCGUAGAAAUCGGAACGCUAGUUUCGAUGGAGGCGCUGGUGGGAUACUACCCCUGCGUUAUGGCCACUCUAACCCGCACCACU
rnacentral:rRNA from 1 species